rnacentral:tRNA from 1 species
UCGUGCUGUGGGACAAUGCGUCCGGCCCCAAGACCGUCAAGGACUUCAUCGCCGCCGCGAAGGCGGCGAGCAGCCCGUUCAAGAUGGGCGGCACCGGC